UUUUAUAUAGUUUAAUCAAAACAUUAUAUUUUCAAUAUAAAAUUAUAUUUAUUUAUUAUUAUUA
rnacentral:tRNA from 1 species